rnacentral:rRNA from 1 species
UACGUAGGGUGCAAGCGUUGUCCGGAAUUAUUGGGCGUAAAGAGCUCUGUGAGCGGUUUGUCGCGUCUGCCGUGAAAGUCCGGGGCUCAACUCCGGAUCUGCGGUGGGUACGGGCAGACUAGAGUGAUGUAGGGGAGACUGGAAUUCCUGGUGUAGCGGUGAAAUGCGCAGAUAUCAGGAGGAACACCGAUGGCGAAGGCAGGUCUCUGGGCAUUAACUGACGCUGAGGAGCGAAAGCAUGGGGAGCGAACAGG